CAAGCUCAUCGACCUACGCCAUGGACGAUCCCAGCGGAACGGCAUCUCAAUUUUUGUUUGCGUGCUUGGACUUCGCUUUUGCGGGCUGUGUGGCCGACGAGAACAUGUAACUUUCACGAGAGCCUCUUCUGGUGGUUGGCUGCUUACAAGUAUUCUGCAGUUUCAGCAGUUAACAUGAUCGCUUGAGCCAGGUUUACUAUGGACAAGGAUUGGUGGGUGCGAGGCUCCUGAACCAUUCAUGAGUAAGCACAGCAGGCUGCGUGUGUGCUCGCUUUCAACGUCCAUGCAGCCAAAGAAGGUUCAUGGUCCAUGGUAUUUUCUCUCUCUCCAGUGUACUGUAUGUGUGUUGCAAUUACUUAAAUUUGAAAGAUUUCUGUGAGGUCCUGCUCUGCAGCAUUUCUAUUAGCUCCCAUAUCUGGUGCCUCAUGUCCGGCCAGCUUUGCAGCCGUAACGACGCCAAAUCUAAGACAAGCAGGAGUUCUCCCUUCACCUCUCUCACCCCCAUUGGUGCACACACCUAUUCAGUAACAUCUUUAUAGUUUGUUGAUUGGUGUAGGCUGACCCAAAUAAGGUGUUGACAUACUCAUUUGUCUCAGUGUUCCCUAAUGCUGCUGCAAGAAGGCAUAUAGCAGUUGCAUUUUCGAAGCUUUGUGUCAAAUUUGUGAUAGGUUGGGCAAAUAACAGAGUAAAGCAUAUAGUUUUAUUUAUUCUGUAGCAAGUGUUAGUGCUAUGAAAUUUAAGGUUCAUGAGAAGAACUGAUAGAUUGUAUAAGACCAGACCUUUCAUAGUUAUAUGAUUUACUUAAAUCUUAUAUUAGGAUUUACUCAGCUAAAACACGGGUGUAGAUCCUCUCCAUGUGCUAAGAUUAGGUUUUUAUAGGUCACUUGAGACUUAUUCACAUGUUGAUCUUCUGAAAAAAAAGUUCAAUGAGACAUGAGUCUUUUGAAAAAACAGUUCAAUGACAUGUUUAUUCACUGGUCAAUGGCUAAUGGUUUAUACACUUAAUGAGAAAAAACACGCCAUGAAAAUUUGGGUCCACAAUGUCCUAACACAUUUAUUUAUUUUAUGUGUUGAACCAGUGUUUAUACAUAUUUACAAUAUUUACCAUGUUUUCUGAAAUUUGUGAAUUUUUGUCUACAAGCCAGACUGCAGCUUGCUCUACAGAUGAACUGCACUACCUGUUUUCAUCUUACAUAUGUGAGUUGCUUCUUACUGAAACUAAUUUUACAUCUGUAUAUUAUUAUUAAGUGGUGCCUACUAACCAUUCAUAGAGUUACUAUAUUCAGUCACCUUGCUCAUUAUCCUCCCAGCAGUUUUAGAAAUAAGGUCUUAACUAUGUGCAUGUACCUUCAGUAGAAAUCUUUAGUCGAGGUAUUUCACACUAUCCGAAUGCGGUGACGGGCCUAUCGUAUUUGCAUCUUUUGAGUUAAGCCUAGCAAAUGCCCUUGCAAAUGGACUACACUCAUGCACAUUUGUUAGAAGUCAGGGUAUGUGCAUGCUAUGCGAGCUUUUCAUUUACUAUUUAGAAUAAGUUAAAUUUUCUUAAUGUAAGGACUAUAAUUCAGUAACACGUUCUGGUAGGCAACAAUCAUCUAUAGCUAAGGCCACACCCACAAAUCUUCGUACAAUUAGUCUGAACGGGUUAUCAAUAGGGGAAAUAUAUUGCCACACACUGGAUAAUCUUGGAAAAACUCAUGCUUAUAAAAAAAAUGAUGACCUGGGCUAUGGAUGAUGUUAUUGGUUGCCACUAUGACCCAAAAGGCAUUUUCUGUGCUAAAUCUGUUACAAAAUCUAAAUUGAAGAUAAGUAAAGAGAAUCAAUGGCGGUUUAUUUACUGAUAGCUCUCAACCAAACCUAAUAUGGAAAAAGGUUUAGAAGCCGAACUGUCCGUACAAUGUAAAACACUUAUUGCGGAGAUUGGAAAAUAUCUCUUUUGCUCGGAGGAGGAAUUUGCACUAGCAAGGAAAGACAUUGACACCUUUUGUUCAAUAUACAUUCGAUUUGAUUGAGAUGGUUCACAUAAUUGUUUCCGUUGGAAGUUUGUAGCGUUAUUUGUGUGUUUUAACCUGCAUAAUGUCAGAAAUUUAGAGACUCUUGAGCAGUGCAAAUCUGCACUCAAUAUUCGUGGAAUCCUCUCCCUAGAAUCCAAUUCACAUUUGAUAGUCCUAACUUCUAUUUGAAAGUAGUGGGAGGAAAGAAAUAAUAGCAGUAGGGUUGAAAGAAGUGAUAUUCUGAGGUACUAUGCUUUAUCAGCACACUGCGGAAUACAUCAAUGAUCACAUGCUACCCAAGUUCGUGUGGUGGAAAUCUCCUGAUGCUGACAAAUUGGAGCUCAGUAUUAAAGGCUUCUACAGUGCUGGAUUGAGCUGGGAUGGCCGGGAUUUCGUCAUUUGGGAUUGCACAAAAUGUUUAUCGCUGCUUGAUCUGGUCAGUAUGAGCAUCUUCAAGAUAUUGUGUAGGCUGAACCGCUGAAGUCAGAGUUCUAUAUGUUAUAUAGCAGGACCCUUACUUUCGUGUGUUAACUUAAUCACUGUAUGGCAUUGCCGUGUAAGAGGUAGAACCCUUCUUAGUUCAGUAUUGGGUCUUUAUCCAACUUAGGCAAUGUACAAUGUAGCUAUGUAUUUAUUACCUCUGCUCAGUAUGUAAAUGGAGAUAUUUACUCUGCAUACAUCUUUCUGAUAGAUACCUAUAUAUACUGCA